rnacentral:rRNA from 1 species
UACGUAGGGUGCGAGCGUUGUCCGGAAUUAUUGGGCGUAAAGGGCUCGUAGGCGGUUUGUCGCGUCGGGAGUGAAAACGCCGUGCUUAACACGGCGCUUGCUUUCGAUACGGGCAGACUAGAGGUAUUCAGGGGAGAACGGAAUUCCUGGUGUAGCGGUGAAAUGCGCAGAUAUCAGGAGGAACACCGGUGGCGAAGGCGGUUCUCUGGGAAUGACCUGACGCUGAGGAGCGAAAGCGUGGGGAGCGAACAGG